UACGAGGGGGGCGAGCGUUGUUCGGAAUUAUUGGGCGUAAAGGGUGCGUAGGCGGUUUGGUAAGUCUUGUGUGAAAUCUUCGGGCUCAACUCGAAGUCUGCACGAGAAACUGCCGGGCUUGAGUAUGGGAGAGGUGAGUGGAAUUCCGCGUGUAGCAGUGAAAUGCGUAGAUAUGCGGAGGAACACCGAUGGCGAAGGCAAUCCCCUGGACCUGUACUGACGCUCAUGCACGAAAGCGUGGGGAGCAAACAGG
rnacentral:rRNA from 1 species